UGUUCCUACGGGGGGCAGCAGUGGGGAAUAUUGCACAAUGGGGGAAACCCUGAUGCAGCAACGCCGCGUGAGUGAAGAAGUCAUUCGUGAUGUAAAGCUCUAUCAGCAGGGAAGAAAAUGACGGUACCUGAGUAAGAAGCCCCGGCUAACUACGUGCCAGCAGCCGCGGUAAUACGUAGGGAGCAAGCGUUAUCCGGAUUUACUGGGUGUAAAGGGCGUGUAGGCGGGCCUGCAAGUCAGAAGUGAAAUCUGGGGGCUUAACCCCCAAACUGCUUUUGAAACUGUGGGUCUUGAGUGAUGGAGAG
rnacentral:rRNA from 1 species